UGCGGUGCUCUUAACUGAGUGCCGUGCGAGGCNNAAANNUUUACUUUGAGAAAAUUAGAGUGUUCAAAGCAGGCCAAAGUGCCCGAACAGCUCAGCAUAGAAUAGUGGAAAAGGACCUCGGCUNGUUCUAUUUCGCUGGUCUCUGGAACCUGAGGUAAUGAUCAAGAGGGACUGCCGGGGGCAUUCGUAUUGCGGCGUGAGAGGUGAAAUUCUUGGAUCGUCGCAAGACGCCCGACAGCGAAAGCAUUUGCCAAGAAUGUCUUCAUUGAUCAAGAACGAAAGUCGGAGGAUCGAAGGCGAUCAGAUACCGCCCUAGUUCCGACCAUAAACGAUACCGACUCGUNAUUCGCCGGCGUUCCUNCCAUGACGCGGCGGGNNACUCUCCGGGAAACCAAAGUCUUUGG
rnacentral:rRNA from 1 species